AUGAAGGGGAAAGGUGGAAAUAUGCUUUAAGAGCACUAAUUUAUAUGGUGUAGUGAAAGUUCAUGUAAUUUUUUCAAAAUCGAAUAUGCGGAAAGGAGCUGUUUGGAAUGAAGAUUUACAAGACGAAGUAAUUCCAUCUAAUUGAAUUAGUGAUAAAAUUGUUUGUCGGCUUCCAGCUACCAAAGCAUUGAAUGCACUAAAAUGCAGAGAAGAAUUGGCUUAAGUUUAUACAAAUAAAAACUAAAUUCUCUUCAGAGUAUUUUCGAAAAGUUAUAUGGCCUCCAUGGAUAUGAAGGGCAAAUC
rnacentral:lncRNA from 1 species